rnacentral:rRNA from 1 species
CCUACGGGUGGCAGCAGUGAGGAAUAUUGGUCAAUGGGCGGGAGCCUGAACCAGCCAAGUCGCGUGAGGGAAGACGGUCCUAUGGAUUGUAAACCUCUUUAGUCGGGGAGCAAGGCCGGGCACGCGUGCCCGGAGGGAGAGUACCCGCAGAAGAAGCAGCGGCGAACUCCGUGCCAGCAGCCGCGGUAAUACGGAGGAUGCGAGCGUUAUCCGGAUUUAUUGGGUUGAAAGGGUGCGUAGGCGGAUUUUUAAGUCAGCGGUAAAAUGUCCGGGCUCAACCCGGGCCGGCCGUUGAAACUUGUGUUCUUGCGUGGGCGAGAGGUCUGCGGCAUGCGUGGUGUAGCGGUGAAAUGCAUCGAUAUCACGCAGAACUCCGAUUGCGCAGGCAGCAUACCGGCGCCCGACUGACGCUGAGGCACUCAGGCGUGGGGAUCGAACAGGAUUAGAUACCCCUGUAGUC